AGCGGCGAACGGGUGAGUAACACGUAGGUAAUCUACCCUUCAGAGGAGGACAACCUCAGGAAACUGAGGCUAAACCUCCAUGUGUUCAUUAUCAGGAAUGAUAAUGAAGAAAGAGUUACCGUAGAGGUAGCUGCUGAAGGAUGAGCCUGCGGCCCAUCAGGUAGUUGGUGAGGUAACGGCUCACCAAGCCGAAGACGGGUAACCGGUCUGAGAGGAUGUCCGGUCACACUGGGACUGAGACACGGCCCAGACUCCUACGGGAGGCAGCAGCAGGGAAUCUUGGGCAAUGGGCGAAAGCCUGACCCAGCGACGCCGCGUGGAGGAAGAAGUCCUUCGGGGCGUAAACUCCUGGACUGGGGGACGAGGAAGGACGGUACCCCAGUAGAAAGGGACGGCUAACUACGUGCCAGCAGCCGCGGUAAAACGUAGGUCCCGAGCGUUGUUCGGAUUCACUGGGUGUAAAGGGCGCGUAGGUGGUUGUCUGUGUCUCAUGUGAAAACUCAGGGCUCAACUCUGAGAUGGCGUGGGAAACUAGGCAGCUAGAGGACGGUAGAGGGGAGUGGAAUUCCCGGUGUAGCGGUAAAAUGCGUAGAUAUCGGGAGGAACACCGGUGGCGAAGGCGGCUCUCUGGGCCGAUCCUGACGCUGAGGCGCGAAAGCUAGGGGAGCGAACCGGAUUAGAUACCCGGGUAGUCCUAGCCGUAAACGAUGGGUGCUAGGUGUUGGGGGGUAAAGACCCUUCAGUGCCGAAGCAACGCGAUAGCAUCCCACCUGGGGAGUACGGCGCAAGGUUGAAACUCAAGGAUUGGCGGGGUCCGCACAAGCGGCGGAGCAUGUGUUUAAUUCAUGCUGCCCGAGAACUUUACAGGGUUUGACUGCUGGUAGUAGGAACCCGAAAGGGGACUACCCACCGUAUGGAGGAGCAGCCAGUGGUGCUUGCUGUCGUCAGUCCUGCGGGAGGUGUCGGCUAAGUGC
rnacentral:rRNA from 1 species